AUCCAACUGACGAGUCUCAAAUAGGACGAAAUGCACAUCCUGGAU
rnacentral:hammerhead_ribozyme from 1 species